GAGUUUGAUACAUGGCUCAAGAUGAACGCUGACAGAAUGCUUAACACAUGCAAGUCAACUUGAAUUUGGGUUUUUAACUUAGAUUUGGGUGGCGGACGGGUGAGUAACGCGUAAAGAACUUGCCUCACAGUUAGGGACAACAUUUAGAAAUGAAUGCUAAUACCUGAUAUUAUGAUUUUAAGGCAUCUUAGAAUUAUGAAAGCUAUAAGCACUGUGAGAGAGCUUUGCGUCCCAUUAGCUAGUUGGAGAGGUAACAGCUCACCAAGGCGAUGAUGGGUAGCCGGCCUGAGAGGGUGAACGGCCACAAGGGGACUGAGACACGGCCCUUACUCCUACGGGAGGCAGCAGUGGGGAAUAUUGGACAAUGGACCGAGAGUCUGAUCCAGCAAUUCUGUGUGCACGAUGAAGUUUUUCGGAAUGUAAAGUGCUUUCAGUUGGGAAGAAAGAAAUGACGGUACCAACAGAAGAAGUGACGGCUAAAUACGUGCCAGCAGCCGCGGUAAUACGUAUGUCACGAGCGUUAUCCGGAUUUAUUGGGCGUAAAGCGCGUCUAGGUGGUUAUGUAAGUCUGAUGUGAAAAUGCAGGGCUCAACUCUGUAUUGCGUUGGAAACUGUAUAACUAGAGUACUGGAGAGGUAAGCGGAACUACAAGUGUAGAGGUGAAAUUCGUAGAUAUUUGUAGGAAUGCCGAUGGGGAAGCCAGCUUACUGGACAGAUACUGACGCUAAAGCGCGAAAGCGUGGGUAGCAAACAGGAUUAGAUACCCUGGUAGUCCACGCUGUAAACGAUGAUUACUAGGUGUUGGGGGUCGAACCUCAGCGCCCAAGCAAACGCGAUAAGUAAUCCGCCUGGGGAGUACGUACGCAAGUAUGAAAACUCAAAAGGAAUUGACGGGGACCCGCACAAGCGGUGGAGCAUGUGGUUUAAUUCGACGCAAACGCGAGGAACCUUACCAGCGUUUGACAUCUUAGGAAAGAGAUAGAGAUAUUUCAGUGUCCCUUCGGGGAAACCUAAAGACAGGUGGUGCGUGGCUGUCGUCAGCUCGUGUCGUGAGAUGUUGGGUUAAGUCCCGCAAACGAGCGCAACCCCUUUCGUAUGUUACCAUCAUUAAAGUUGGGGACUCAUGCGAUACUGCCUACGAUGAGUAGGAGGAAAGGUGGGGAUGACGUCGAAGUCAUCGUGCCCCUUAUACGCUGGGCUACGACGCGUGCUACGAAUGGGUAGAACAGAGAGUUGCGAACGCCGUGUGGUGAAGGCGAU
rnacentral:rRNA from 1 species